GAUGAACGCUGGCGGCGUGCCUAAUACAUGCAAGUCGAGCGAAUGGAUUAAGAGCUUGCUCUUAUGAAGUUAGCGGCGGACGGGUGAGUAACACGUGGGUAACCUGCCCAUAAGACUGGGAUAACUCCGGGAAACCGGGGCUAAUACCGGAUAACAUUUUGAACCGCAUGGUUCGAAAUUGAAAGGCGGCUUCGGCUGUCACUUAUGGAUGGACCCGCGUCGCAUUAGCUAGUUGGUGAGGUAACGGCUCACCAAGGCAACGAUGCGUAGCCGACCUGGGAGGGUGAUCGGCCAAACUGGGACUGAGACACGGCCCAGACUCCUACGGGAGGCAGCAGUAGGGAAUCCUCCGCAAUGGACGAAAGUCUGACAGAGCAACGCCGCGUGAGUGAUGAAGGCUUUCGGGUCGUAAAACUCUGUUGUUAGGGAAGAACAAGUGCUAGUUGAAUAAGCUGGCACCUUGACGGUACCUAACCAGAAAGCCACGACUAACUACGUGCCAGCAGCCGCCGUAA
rnacentral:rRNA from 1 species